UACGUAGGGUGCAAACGUUGUCCGGAAUUACUGGGUGUAAAGGGUGCACAGGCGGUUUUGUGCGUCAGAGGUAAAAUCCCACAGCUCAACUGUGGACCUGCCUUUGAUACGGCAAGACUUGAGUACAAGAGAGGAUGAUAGAAUUCCUGGUGUAGCGGUGAAAUGCGUAGAUAUCAGGAGGAAUACCAGUGGCGAAGGCGGUCAUCUGGCUUGUAACUGACGCUUAAGCACGAAAGCAUGGGUAGCGAACAGG
rnacentral:rRNA from 1 species